GGCCGCGGUAAUACGUAGGGUGCGAGCGUUAAUCGGAAUUACUGGGCGUAAAGCGUGCGCAGGCGGUUUUGCAAGACAGGCGUGAAAUCCCCGAGCUCAACUUGGGAAUGGCGCUUGUGACUGCAAGGCUAGAGUAUGUCAGAGGGGGGUAGAAUUCCACGUGUAGCAGUGAAAUGCGUAGAGAUGUGGAGGAAUACCGAUGGCGAAGGCAGCCCCCUGGGACGUCACUGACGCUCAUGCACGAAAGCGUGGGGAGCAAACA
rnacentral:rRNA from 1 species